rnacentral:rRNA from 2 species
UACGAACCGUCCAAACGUUAUUCGGAAUUACUGGGCUUAAAGGGUGCGUAGGCGGCCCGGGAAGUUGGGUGUGAAAGCCCUCGGCUCAACCGAGGAACUGCGCCCAAAACUGCCGGGCUCGAGGGAGAUAGAGGUGAGCGGAACUUAGGGUGGAGCGGUGAAAUGCGUUGAUAUCCUAAGGAACACCGGUGGCGAAAGCGGCUCACUGGGUCUCUUCUGACGCUGAGGCACGAAAGCUAGGGUAGCGAACGGG